rnacentral:lncRNA from 1 species
GCACAUCUCGCCGGCGGCCGCUUGGUGUCAACGAUCCGGAUAGCGCCUUACAGCUCGACUUUGGUGUUUCUGAGACUGAUUUGGACAUUUCAAUCGGUUCCUAUUCUGAUGUCGGCCCUGUCAUCUGACGGCAUAUUCCGGCACCGACGGCAGCAGAUGGCUCUGGCCUGGUGUUGCUGUGACUGGUGCUGCCACCUACACAAGCAUCAGUUGACGGUGCUGCUAUCUGUCAAACUGCUUUCGGCACCGACUGCAGCUCAUAUCUUGGACAUUUGUC